AUUGAACGCUGGCGGCACGCCUAACACAUGCAAGUCGAACGGCAGCAUGAUGUGUAGCAAUACACAUUGAUGGCGAGUGGCGGACGGGUGAGUAACGCGUAGGGAUCUGUCCUUAAGAGAGGGAUAACCUAGGGAAACUUGGGCUAAUACCACAUAAUCUCCGAGGAGGAAAGGUUGCCUGUAAGGGCAAUCGCUUAAGGGUGAACCUGCGUCGGAUUAGCUAGUUGGUUGGGUAAUUGCUGACCAAGGCUACGACGGGUAACUGGUCUGAGAGGACGAUCAGUCACACUGGGACUGGAACACGGCCCAGACUCCUACGGGAGGCAGCAGUGGGGAAUAUUGGACAAUGGGCGAAAGCCUGACCCAGCAAUACCGCGUGAGUGAUGAAGGCCUUCGGGUUGUAAAGCUCUGUCGGAAGGAACGAAAUAGCCAGCUAACAACUGGUGUUGACGGUACCUUCAAAGGAAGCACCGGCUAACUCUGUGCCAGCAGCCGCCGUAA
rnacentral:rRNA from 1 species